UACGUAGGGUGCGAGCGUUAAUCGGAAUUACUGGGCGUAAAGCGUGCGCAGGCGGUUUUGUAAGCCGGAUGUGAAAUCCCCGGGCUUAACCUGGGAAUGGCAUUCGGGACUGCAAGGCUGGAGUGCGGCAGAGGAGACUGGAAUUCCUGGUGUAGCAGUGAAAUGCGUAGAUAUCAGGAGGAACACCGAUGGCGAAGGCAGGUCUCUGGGCUGACACUGACGCUCAUGCACGAAAGCGUGGGGAGCAGACAGG
rnacentral:rRNA from 1 species